CGGCUACCACAUCCAAGGAAGGCAGCAGGCACGCAAAUUACCCACUCCCGGCACGGGGAGGUAGUGACAAAAAAUAACGAUACGGGACUCAUCCGAGGCCCCGUAAUCGGAAUGAGAACAUCCUAAAUCCUUUAACGAGGAUCUAUUGGAGGGCAAGUCUGGUGCCAGCAGCCGCGGUAAUUCCAGCUCCAAUAGCGUAUAUUAAAGUUGUUGCGGUUAAAAAGCUCGUAGUUGGUUCUGCGUGCCACGCUGUCGGUUCACCGCCUGUCGGUGCAACUGGCAUGCCGUGGCAUGUCCUGUCGGUGGCGUGCAGGCUUCGCGGCGCUCCCUGCAUGAUACGUUGUGUAGGUCGUCGAGUAGUCCUCGUACGCCGUCUCAAUCCUGCCGCGGUGCUCUUUACCGAGUGUCGAGGUAGGCCGGCACAUUUUACUUUGAACAAAUUCUUGGCAAAUGCUUUCGC
rnacentral:rRNA from 1 species